UUAGAACAAGAGAAAUUACAGCAAAGACUUCUCCCAAUAGAGAUCAGAUGCUACCUGAGAAAUCUUCCUUAAAAGAUCCACACAGUGAUGUAAAAGUCAUUCUCUAGUUCUUUGGAUGUUACAUGAGUAUCAAUAUAACACUCAGCCAUCCAGGAAAAAGAAGUCAUUUUGCUUCCUUGAGCUUCACUUUCCUUAUCUGCAAAUGGGAUGUGUCUGACUGUGACUCCAUU